CGGGCCUUUGCCAAGAAAUCUCAGGCGUGACUUUCCUGGGGCUGCGACGAGGGCCAAGCCCUUGAUCUCGCCGAAUAGCUCGACCAGGCGUUGCUCAACUUCCGUUUCGGUCGGGAAGGCUAGG
rnacentral:tRNA from 1 species